CGCCAGGGCAACGGCUCUGCGUUCUGUCCUCUUCCUUGAAAGAGCCUCAGGGGCGGAGAGGAGGAGUGAGGGUGUGUGGUUCACGUGCGCCGUUCAGGCGAGGAGAAGCGGAAAGGCCAUGGAAAGGGCCAUAGCAGAUCCAAGGAUGCAGAGAUUUUGUGUGUGUUGCUGCUGGACCUGAAGGAAAUGGCAGAGGGGAAGGACUUUUCCAGGGGAUUAGUUGCUCUGUGUCCCAGCUGAAGGAAAAGAGGGACGGAAGUCACCACACACUCCUGUUGCUUGAGGAGACACUUGGCCAGUCCACCACCUCUGGAUUUCCACUGACCUCUUCUCCAGAAGGCGUAAAAAUAACAAUAUUGUUCUUUUGAGGGAGAAAUAUGAUAGAAGACUGAAAUAACCUUGUGGCACUUAACUGAAUAUUGCCCUGAUGGAAGCUAAGUGCUGGAUGGGACAAAUUUCUAGAGACGAGGCAAAGAAGAGAAACAAAUACUGAGAAGUAAAGGCUCACAUUCCUGACUGCUAAGGUAUCGAGGAACCUUGUGCUAGAGCAAGGAAGGCAGUGAAGCUUGAACUAAAGAUCUGAAGCGCUUUGCUGUGUCAUCUAUCUUCAUUGUCCUUUCUGGGAGCCACAGAAAUGGUACACACCCGAUCUGGGAACCAGAAACACCUAGCAACUGCAGCCUGAAUGAGGGCUUGAAAAAAUGCUCUGCCAUUUCAUUUAUCUUCUCUGUCCCUCCUGGCAACCAGAGAAACAGUGGCUGAAGGCACACCCCACCCAGAAACCAGAGACAGCAAUGCUGUACCCUGAGCAGAAGCCUGAAAGCAAGCCAUUCCAUUCAUCCCCUGCUUCCUGUCUGCAGCACUGUACCUGGCACAGGAGUCACUUAGAAUAUGCAAACUAAGACGAUGGAACUUCUAGAAAUUUUCAAGGAGAAAAUAUAAGGUAACAGAAGCAUACAUCUGAACACCCAAGUUGACCUUCUGUGGAUGAGGAUUCCCUUAACUUUAAUUGAUAUCCCCAUUUAAACUCACCAUGUAAGUCGGGUUAUUUGACUUGAAAU